UUUGCAUUGUCUGGCUCUGCACAAUGUAAACUUGUGAAAGUGAGAAAUAUAGAUUUGACAUAUUGUUCCACUUUCUCAAAAGCAAUUUCCUGACAUCUUACAACAAACUAAUCAAACUUUCUAGGGCGAUCAUAAAGUAAAAUUGAACUUGUAAUUCUGAACCACUGAAUCUAUCCUAUCAGUUUGCAGCAACAUCAGAAAAAUUCCUACUAGAAGAUACAGCAAGAUCCAACGGGUAUUUGGGUUACACUGCCAUACCUAUAAUUUGAGAAACAAGCCAAACCAAAAGCCUUUAAUUUCACAUGUUUCUAAAAGCAUACUCAUGGCUUUAUUGAGGAUAGCAAAAGCAAAAGUAACAAAAUACCCUUUCUCAGCUUCAGUUCCUCAACAUUUUACUGUGAGCAAACACCAAUUGAAGAUAUAGAGAUGGAUCAUGCCAAGCCAUGUACCCAAG
rnacentral:misc_RNA from 1 species